CCUGGUGCUAGAGCUCAAACUAUCUUAUCUGAAGACAACCAGGCCUUUUUGCAAAAGCCAAAAAUAGGAGAUUUAUUCCCUAAAAUAAUACUGGAAAAUAUGGUGGCAGUUCAUUAAAAUCCUGAU